GUGUGUGCGGCCGGUCGUUUCCAAAAGAUGGCGCUAAUCUUAAACACACGUGUGUGGCAAAUUGUCAAGCCCGGUCGACGAGAAAACACUAUAACAAUCACAAUUUUUAAUCCACAUGGUCAAGUCAGCACAUACUACAAGUAUCACAGAACAUUCUUAUAAAUCCAUCAGCAAUGAAACAGGAACCUGAGCUGUUCCUUAGAGGGCACCCCUCUGUAAUCAUGGAGCUGUGUCACCCUCUGCAGAAUAUCUGAAUCAUCAUCUGCCAAAGAGUCAACCGACCCGCCAUCCAAGCCCCAAGCAUGAACGUUGGCAAUCUCAAGGAUCCAAAGGAUCCAUGUAUGACAAAACGUAAUCCUGAGACGAUGCUAAGAGGCACCCUGAUGGACUCAAACCACUGGGUCAUCCUUUGCAGGUGAACCCCUUGGAGAAGCAAACCCUCAAGAGUUCACCAACCGUCUUGCUCAAGCCUUCUCCAGAGACACCCCUACUCCUCCCAAGGGUCAACUGAUCCUCUGUCCAAGCCAAAAGCAUGAACGUUGGCAAUCUCAAGGAUCUGAAGGAUCCAUGUAUGACUAAACAGAAUCCUGAGAUGAUGAAAAGAGGCACCCUGACCCUGAUGAACUCAAACCACUGGGUCAUCCUUUGCAGGUGAGCCCCUUGGAGAAGCAAACCCUCAAGAGUCAACCAACCGUCUUGCUCAAGCCUUCUCCAGAGACACCCCUACUCCUCUCAAGAGUCCACCAACCGUCUUCUUCAAGCCUUCUGGAGAGACACCCUACUAGAAGACAGACCCAAACUACACCUUGAAGAGUAAACUACACGGAUCUAAUACAAUCAACGAGAUCAACUAUUCCAGACAGAGAGUGUCGGAUCUCCAUUCAAGUUCCAGCCCAUCACCAGUGGAGAUGCAGUGUUGGUCAACAGUAAUUUAGUGUUUGUAGCUUUUAAUUUAUAACUAUAUCUGGGAUGGAUCUGAAGGUUUAGUGUAUUUCUAACAAGAUAAUGAACGCUUUUAUUAACGAGCAUCAUUGUCUGCAAGAUUGAUAUGUGCACAUCCUGAGUGUCGUGAAUCAUUCAUACUUUCCUUGUGUGGUGAUCUACCUAUAUUUUCCUUGUAUGGUAAAUCAUUCAUACUUUGCUUGUGUGGUGUUCUACCUAUAUUUACCCAUGGUGAAUCAUUCAUACUUUCCUUGUGUGGUG